AGAGUUUGAUCCUGGCUCAGGAUGAACGCUAGCGACAGGCCUAACACAUGCAAGUCGAGGGGUAACAGGGGCUUCGGCCCGCUGACGACCGGCGCACGGGUGAGUAACGCGUAUGCAACCUGCCUGUAACAGCGGGAUAGCUCCCUGAAAGGGGAAUUAACACCGCAUAAGACCACGCUCUCGCAUGGGGACGGGGUAAAAUAUUUAUAGGUUACAGAUGGGCAUGCGUGACAUUAGUUAGUUGGUAAGGUAACGGCUUACCAAGGCGACGAUCAGUAGCCGACCUGAGAGGGUGAUCGGCCACAUUGGAACUGAGACACGGUCCAAACUCCUACGGGAGGCAGCAGUGGGGAAUAUUGCACAAUGGGCGAAAGCCUGAUGCAGCAACGCCGCGUGAGCGAUGAAGGCCUUCGGGUCGUAAAGCUCUGUCCUCAAGGAAGAUAAUGACGGUACUUGAGGAGGAAGCCCCGGCUAACUACGUGCCAGCAGCCGCGGUAAUACGUAGGGGGCUAGCGUUAUCCGGAUUUACUGGGCGUAAAGGGUGCGUAGGUGGUUUCUUAAGUCAGGAGUGAAGGGCUACGGCUCAACCGUAGUAAGCUCUUGAAACUGGGAAACUUGAGUGCAGGAGAGGAAAGUGGAAUUCCUAGUGUAGCGGUGAAAUGCGUAGAUAUUAGGAGGAACACCAGUGGCGAAGGCGACUUUCUGGACUGUAACUGACACUGAGGCACGAAAGCGUGGGGAGCAAACAGGAUUAGAUACCCUGGUAGUCCACGCCGUAAACGAUGAGCACUAGGUGUCGGGGUCGCAAGGCUUCGGUGCCGCAGUUAACGCAUUAAGUGCUCCGCCUGGGGAGUACGCACGCAAGUGUAAAACUCAAAGGAAUUGACGGGGACCCGCACAAGCAGCGGAGCAUGUGGUUUAAUUCGAAGCAACGCGAAGAACCUUACCAGGGCUUGACAUCCCUCUGACCGGUUGGUAACGCAACCUUCCCUUCGGGGCAGAGGAGACAGGUGGUGCAUGGUUGUCGUCAGCUCGUGUCGUGAGAUGUUGGGUUAAGUCCCGCAACGAGCGCAACCCUUGUCAUUAGUUGCCAUCAGUUAGGCUGGGCACUCUAGUGAGACUGCCGGGGAUAACUCGGAGGAAGGUGGGGAUGACGUCAAGUCAUCAUGGCCCUUAUGUCCAGGGCUACACACGUGCUACAAUGGUAGUUACAAAGCGAAGCGACACCGCGAGGUAUAAGCAAAUCGCAAAAAAGCUAUCGUAGUUCGGAUUGGAGUCUGAAACUCGACUCCAUGAAGUUGGAAUCGCUAGUAAUCGCGCAUCAGCACGGCGCGGUGAAUACGUUCCCGGGCCUUGUACACACCGCCC
rnacentral:rRNA from 1 species